rnacentral:rRNA from 1 species
CGGGGGGAGCAAGCGUUGUUCGGAUUUACUGGGCGUAAAGGGCGCGUAGGCGGCCACUGCAAGUCGGUUGUGAAAUCUCCGGGCUUAACCCGGAAAGGUCAACCGAUACUGCAGGGCUAGAGUGCAGAAGGGGCAACUGGAAUUCUCGGUGUAGCGGUGAAAUGCGUAGAUAUCGAGAGGAACACCUGCGGCGAAGGCGGGUUGCUGGGCUGACACUGACGCUGAUGCGCGAAAGCUGGGGGAGCGAACGGGAUUAGAUACCCCGGUAGUCCUAGCCUUAAACGAUGAAUGCUUGGUGUCUGGGGUUUUAUAGUCCCCGGGUGCCGUCGCUAACGCUUUAAGCAUUCCGCCUGGGGAGUACGGUCGCAAGACUG